rnacentral:rRNA from 1 species
CCUACGGGAGACAGCAGUGAGGAAUAUUGGUCAAUGGCCGAGAGGCUGAACCAGCCAAGUCGCGUGAGGGAUGACGGCCCUACGGGUUGUAAACCUCUUUUGUCGGGGAGCAAAGAGAGUCACGUGUGGCUCAUUGAGAGUACCCGAAGAAAAAGCAUCGGCUAACUCCGUGCCAGCAGCCGCGGUAAUACGGAGGAUGCGAGCGUUAUCCGGAUUUAUUGGGUUUAAAGGGUGCGCAGGCGGAGGUGCAAGUCAGUGGUCAAAUUGCGGGGCUCAACCCCGUACUGCCGUUGAAACUGCAUCCCUUGAGUGCGCGAGAAGUAUGCGGAAUGCGUGGUGUAGCGGUGAAAUGCAUAGAUAUCACGCAGAACCCCGAUUGCGAAGGCAGCAUACCGGCGCCCUACUGACGCUGAGGCACGAAAGUGCGGGUAUCGAACAGGAUUAGAUACCCUUGUAGUC